rnacentral:misc_RNA from 1 species
GAAAAAAAAAAAAGUCUUGCCUUCUCUUAAAGCUGCCCCUAAAAUGAUAUAAUGGAGAGACCCAUUUUCCUUCAUUCCAUUUUAUUUUCUUUCAAAAAAGAAAAAUGCAGAGAUCAUCUUGUUAUUUUAGAUGCUUUUUACAAUCUCAGCCGCUUUUUUUUUUUUACCCAUUUCAUCCUUUGUCCAUUAGAGCUUUAGGUGACAUCAUUAGUUCUACUGAAUCUCGUUCGAAGUCAAACAUCAUUUCCUUUCAUGCCACCGGCAAACUCAACAGCCACACAAACCCAUUUCGAUUCAAGCCCAUCUCCUUUGAUUCAGGUAGAAGUUUCACACCUCAAUCAGAGUUAUAAAACAUAUCAGACUUUCUGCAUCAUCACCUCAGCAUAAACUGCUAUGGGUAAAAUGUGAUUUGCCUAGUUAUUGUCUUCUCUUGAUUAAUUAAUGUUAGUGAUCUGAAACUUUAUAUUUUUUGUUGAUGAUUUGGUGUUUCAAAAUCACAUUUUGUUUCAAUCUAUAUUGAUUAUUGAUUUUUGGCUACUUGGAUAUGGAUUGGUAUUUUAUAAGUGAUGGUUUUCUUCCUCAAUAGUUCACUUGCUUUCUAUAAAUGUAAAAUUUGUUUAUCAUUUUCUUUAUCUCGUUUUAGUUCCCUUUGUGAAUUAAUUUUCCUUCUAAGUAUGCUGAUUUUGCAUUAUAAGUUAAUUAAGUUAAGAUAAGAUUCACGAGGGUUGAGUUCAACGCCCAUUUUGGAGAGUCCCUAAAAGGAGUCAGUAGGGUGAGUUUGAUACAUAGAAUCGAUCCUAAACAAUUUGGUAGUCAAUAUAACAAAUUUUAAUAAAAUAGGAUUCAAAAUAUGGUGUAGGAAUUAAGCUUUAUCAAGGAUUCACAUCUCCGGAUCUGUUUGAUUUCAAUUUAUCUGUAAGUCUGUUGAUUUUAAUUCUGUGAUUAUUACAUUCAAGGUCAGUUCUUAUGGCUAUCAUAUGAAAUAAGUUACUUUGGUGUUAGCUGUUGGUAAACAAAAGUCUAGGUUCUGCAGAAAUAUGAACAUAUCAUCACAUCCAGUCACCUUUUGGGGGAUUAAGCAGUAGCAUGAUUGCUUUUUUCUAACCUUGAUUAUGAAUGGGGUGUCCACAAAUACUAUUAGUCAUUUUUCUUUGUUAAGUUUUUUAUUUUCCUUAGUAUCUAAUGCUGAUAAAAUGGGUACUGCAAAUAAUAAUGUAUCACUGAACCUUGAGAAAAUUGCUCCUAAAAUGUGCAUAUUGCUAUUAUUGAUAGAAUCUAUUUGGGUAAAAUAGAUAAUAUGUCUGAUGCUCUACAACCUCUCACUUCCAUCUACUUAAGUCUCUUGCAGGGUUGUAUUUGUGUACUUGCCAUAGUCAAUACUGGAAUCUACUUUGGUGUUUUUCUCUGUAAAUCAUUUUCAUAUAUAUAUAUAUAUAUAGUGCUUAAAGGGGGAACCUCUUUAAAUUACUUAUAUGGGGGCAUGCCUUGAAUUAUCUAAAUAAAUGAAUCAAUAAAAAUUAAAUUAACAAGAUUAUUUAAAAAAAUAUAUAUCUUUUCAAAAGUGGUGAUAAAGGCACCCUUAAACUACUUAAAUAGGGGGAUGCCCCUCAAAAUUUCUUCUAGUUUAUGAAAAAUAUACUUUUUUUUAAAAAAAAUCUUUCUAUAAAAAUUUCAUUUUUUUAGUAGUUAAGGGGUACCCCUUAAACUACUUAAAUAAGUGGAUACCUCUUAAAAUUGUUAUUAAUUUAUUUAAGUAAAAAAAAAAAUUGUUUCUAUAAAAAUAUCUUUUUAUUAAUUAAGGUGAUACCCCUUAAACUACUUAAAUAGAGGGAUACCUCUCUAAAUUGUUAUUAAUUUAUUAAAAUUAUUUUAGUCAAAUAAAAAUUGUUUCUAUAAAAAUUUCUUUCUAGUGGUUUAAAGGGGUACCCCUUAAACUAAUUAAAUAGGGGAUACCCCUUUUAAUUGUUACCAAUUUAUUAAAAUUAUUUAAGAUAAGAUAAAAUUUUCCUAUAAAAUAUCUUUUUAGGAUUUAAAGGGCUAACCUUUAUAGUACUUAAAUAUGGGAUACCCCUUAAAUUAUUAGUAGUUUAUUAAAUUAUCAAAUAAAAUUUUUCUAUAAAAAUGUUUGCUUUUAGUAGUUAAAGGGGUAUCGCUUAAAUUACUUAAGUAGGGAUACCCCUCCAACUUUUUUUAAAUUGA